rnacentral:rRNA from 1 species
UUGGAGGGCAAGUCUGGUGCCAGCAGCCGCGGUAAUUCCAGCUCCAAUAGCGUAUAUUAAAGUUGUUGCAGUUAAAAAGCUCGUAGUUGAACCUCGGGAUCAAUGGAUCGGUCAUGCCAAUGGUAUGUACUGGUCAUAUUGGUUCUCACCUUCCAAGGAACCAUGAUGUCAUUCAUUUGAUGUUGUGGGGAAUUAGGACUGUUACCUUGAAAAAAUUAGAGUGUUUAAAGCAGGCUAACGCUUGAAUACAUUAGCAUGGAAUAAUGAAAUAGGACAUCGCAUUCUAUUUUGUUGGUUUCUAGGAUCGAUGUAAUGAUUAAUAGGGAUAGUUGGGGGCAUUAGUAUUCAAUUGUCAGAGGUGAAAUUCUUGGAUUUAUUGAAGACUAACUACUGNGANAGCAUUUGCCAAGGAUGUUUUCAUUAAUCAAGAACGAAAGUUAGGGGAUCGAAGACGAUCAGAUACCGUCGUAGUCUUAACCAUAAACUAUGCCGACUAGGGAUCGGAUGAUGUUGAUUUUUUAAUGACUCAUUCGGCACCUUACGGGAAAC